rnacentral:tmRNA from 1 species
GGGGUUGACUGGAUUUGACAGCAAGCUGAGAUGGUACGUAAGCAUGCGGAGUGACGACUGUAUACUCCAUAAUCCAUUCGGUCAGAAAAUUAAUUGGCAACAACAAGUAUGCUCUCGCUGCCUAAUCGAAGUACAGUAGAUUACUGGCUUUAUUCCGUCACUAGGUGAUGGAACGAGACGUCGCUCCAAGGAUGUUGUUCCGAAUCUGAGGAUCAAGCGGCGCAGGAAAAUCGGGAAUAGUCAUGCCGGGCCUU